ensembl:snRNA U6 U6 spliceosomal RNA
GCGCAUAUACGGUAAGCAAGCACAUGCACUGGACUUGGAGAGAUACAGAGAGGAUUAGCGUGGGCGCUGCACAGGGAUGACAGGCAAAUUCAUGACGCGCUCCGCACUUAU